AUCCAAGAUGGCUGCCCACGGCACAGGGUUUCCUCCGCUCUAUACAAUGGGCUUCUGGGACAAAGAGCCUCGGUAUAUGCGGCGAUUUGCAGCUUUUGCACCAAUAACAUUCACCGUGUCCUGGAGGACAACCACCUUUACAGAAGCUAUUACAAGGUGCUCACCCGUGACACCACACGGAGUAAAACUCUCAUUCGGUCCUAAACAUGAGCAGUUGCAAGAGAAGAGUUCACAGAUGUUUCUCCCCAGACUGACUUCACAUCAUAACCCCAUCCUCAGCAGCAGGAGGCUGAGCAGUGCGCAUACGUAGUGGAGUGUGCUCGGAUGCCAGAGGGGGGUGCUGUUACAUAGGUCUGAGUCACAGCAGUGGAUUCGCACCCCCGGCAGCUCUUGUUGCUGGCAGUGUCUGGAUGUAGCGCAACCGCUGGUCAGGACGAUACCCAGAGCCGCUGGACGGACAGAAAAGGGGGAGACAAUCAGUCAGUCACAUAAGAGUGAUGAGCUGGUGUUUGGCUCAGCAAGAAAAAAAAAAAAAAGAAAAAAAAAGAGCACAAGUAAGCAGCAAACACUGCAAGUGUAUAAUGAGGAAGACAUUUGGAGAUCUUAAAGACACACUCCACUGGAUAUGACUACGCAGCAGGGAAACCAAUCCUUUGAUGAACUGCAUAUGUUGUGCUUUUAAAUUCAGCAAAUAAACGUAUUAACAAAUUG